rnacentral:rRNA from 1 species
CCUACGGGAGGCUGCAGUGGGGAAUAUUGGACAAUGGGGGCAACCCUGAUCCAGCCAUGCCGCGUGUGUGAAGAAGGCCCUCGGGUUGUAAAGCACUUUCAGUGAGGAAGAACGCCUGGUGGUUAAUACCCAUCAGGAAAGACAUCACUCACAGAAGAAGCACCGGCUAACUCCGUGCCAGCAGCCGCGGUAAUACGGAGGGUGCGAGCGUUAAUCGGAAUUACUGGGCGUAAAGCGCGCGUAGGUGGCUUGAUAAGCCGGUUGUGAAAGCCCCGGGCUCAACCUGGGAACGGCAUCCGGAACUGUCAAGCUAGAGUGCAGGAGAGGAAGGUAGAAUUCCCGGUGUAGCGGUGAAAUGCGUAGAGAUCGGGAGGAAUACCAGUGGCGAAGGCGGCCUUCUGGGCUGACACUGACACUGAGGUGCGAAAGCGUGGGUAGCAAACAGGAUUAGAUACCCUAGUAGUC